CCAGGGGACAAUUACAGCCAAUUGCUCUUGCACUCGCAUGUAAAUUGCUGCCAAGGAAUUUAGGCUGUGAGGAUUUACACAUGGCAGAGUCCCUCAGUGAUGGCCGGUUUUCAUGCACAAAAUUAGGCCUGGUCACUGCAACCCACUGUGCAGCAGAUUGCAGCCUGAGCCCAAGAACCUGAUGGUGACUGCCGGUUAGAAACACCCCAUUGUCACAGCUAUGACACAACAUUCCUUAGUUGUUGUCAUCAGUUUAAGAAGGCUAUCGGUGAUAGCCUGUCCUGUAACAGUAAGGACAAAGGACUGGUCAGCAUUCUGCCAGGUAGACGGACUUUCACACUAUGGAGAACAGAAAGUCAAAAGGGAUUUGGCACUUACUGCUUCAGAUGCCACUGUGAAUGGAAGGGGCGCGUUGCUCGCUUCUGCUGCAGCUGCUAUUGGUGGUGGAUACUGAAGCCUAAAUCUCCACAACAGAGCUGCUUGUAUUUGAUUCUCCUUUCUAGCACACUGCCAGGGGAGGUGGCUUCGGCUCUUCCCCUUUCCUAAGUGAGCUUCCCUUUUCCUGAGCUAGACGAGGUAAGCUGAGGCUCUUGAUAGCAAAUCAGAGCAGGAGGGACCACUGAGGAUACGUCCAGCUCCUCAAAGAAUGCAGACCUUGAGCUCAUCCCCAUUUCUGCCCAUUGCUUUUCACUCAGCUAUUGCAUAAGUCUG
rnacentral:lncRNA from 1 species